UAGGCGGGGACGCUAACCGUGGAUAGAGGCGGGGCACCCACCCCAGUCCGCCAACGAUCGGGCCGGGGCCGUGCGCGGCCUUGGGGUCAAGUCGACGCCGUUUUCCUGAUGAUUACGACGUCGGCGGGGCAGCCUCUCCAACCCGAAUCCGACAGCUGACUUCGCAAGCGCGUAUCGAGAGGAAUA
rnacentral:sRNA from 2 species